GAUGAACGCUGGCGGCGUGCCUAAUACAUGCAAGUCGAGCGAACGGACGAGGAGCUUGCUUCUCUGAUGUUAGCGGCGGACGGGUGAGUAACACGUGGAUAACCUACCUAUAAGACUGGGAUAACUUCGGGAAACCGUAGCUAAUACCGGAUAAUAUUUUGAACCGCAUGGUUCAAAAGUGAAAGACGGUCUUGCUGUCACUUAUAGAUGGAUCCGCGCUGCAUUAGCUAGUUGGUAAGGUAACGGCUUACCAAGGCAACGAUGCAUAGCCGACCUGAGAGGGUGAUCGGCCACACUGGAACUGAGACACGGUCCAGACUCCUACGGGAGGCAGCAGUAGGGAAUCUUCCGCAAUGGGCGAAAGCCUGACGGAGCAACGCCGCGUGAGUGAUGAAGGUCUUCGGAUCGUAAAACUCUGUUAUUAGGGAAGAACAUAUGUGUAAGUAACUGUGCACAUCUUGACGGUACCCAAUCAGAAAGCCACGGCUAACUACGUG
rnacentral:rRNA from 1 species